rnacentral:snRNA from 1 species
GUUGCAUCCUGGCACAAAUGUUAAAAUUGGAGAAAUACAGAGAAGAUUAGCAUGGCCCCUGCGCAAGGAUGACACGCACA